GGAUUUUGCAUGCUGCUUUAGAGUAAAGUGUCCUAGAACUUUGAAAAGUCAAAUUAGCAAUGAAUCAGGGAGGAUACUUGCAGGUCAGGAAGUACACCAUGGGGCCUUCAUUACCAUUAUAUCCUGAGGACCACAUCUUGGAAGAAAAUGUAAAGCAGAAGAUGUCCCUCGAUAAUCUUUAAGUGAGUGUCCA